AAACAAGGAGCCUGUGAGAGGGAAGAUCAGGCACACGUGUGAGCAAGAGAGGCAGCUGCCAGCUCCAGGCAUGAAAUAUUCACAGGUUCUGCACCUUGCACAGGGCCCGUGUGUGUGGCCCCAGCCCAGGCAGGCUGUUGGUGCCGUCCUAACCAGGAAACCUGGGUCCCAGCAAGUGUGUGUGUGUCGGCAUGGCUCUGAGGAUGCUCUAACGUCUGUGAGUUGACAUGGAACUACAUACAAGCCUGACAGCAGGGAACAUAAGCACUGGUUGCACUCGGACGCACCGUCGGUUGCUAUGGGGACCCCUUCCUCACUUCCAGACCUGAACCAAUGGGCAUCACCGCUGAUGACCUCAUGCCCCAGGCCCCGGGAUUCUAUUGGCUAUUUGGAAGCCAGAGCGCACCCUUUUCAAUGGCGUCACCGCUGGGGAUCCCCCGACGACCCCAGCUAGCGUCUGGCCUACUGAAAGAAAGGCGCGCUGGAAGCUCACAAUGUGCUGAGUGAAUGAAAAAGGAAAGAAGGAACUAAUAAAAGGGAAGAAGAAAAAGGGGGGAGGUGACAGAAAAAGAACAAAACUUCAGGGUUGAAUCUGGAGAAGAAAAGGGAGAUUUGAAACCCCAGAAAGUGUGGAGCAGGAUUGCCCGUCGCAGAGACUCUCAGGCUCUCAAACAGGGAGACAGGGCGAGGUAAAGAUGAGUGGAGUUUUCGCAUCUAUUCGGGAGAGACUAGGGCAGGCCCAGCAAAUUGAGGGCCCCACCCUAAGCCGCCUAGCGCUACUGAGUUUAGGGGAGAUCGGUGACGCCCCAAAACUUGCAGGCCUGCCCAGCCUCCUGGAACUGCGCCCUGGAACACGCCUCGACUUCUCGUGGGUAAGGCCCGGUGCCUGGAAGACCUCCCAGCGCCUGCAGCCCGUCUCGGCCCCAUGAGUGGACUCAGCCCUGGCUUUCCAUGGGGACGCGCCCCGGGACUGAAUCAGCCGCCCGCGCAUGCUAUGAGGAAAGUUGUAUAGGGAAGGCCGGCUGGGCCUGAGCGCCUGUGGCUGGGCGGGCCUAAGUUUAAGACUCCCCCCGCCCCCCACCAACCUCCCCAGCCCGGCUCCCGUGGUCGCUGAGGCAUCCGCCCUUGCACCUGCAAGGGGCUGGGCGGCCGGCAGGGGCGUGUGUCCGUGUCAAGUGGGAGCGCCCGACAGUUAGGGCGUGCGUCUGAGUGCGGAGAAAGCUGACUGGGCCCCGCGUCUCUUUCGCACAUGCGUUAUCAGCGGCGCGUCCGCGCGCCAGCCCCAGCCGCGGGAGCGAGCGCGCCCGCCUGGUUCUGCGAAAAGGAGGCUGGCCUGGGGCCGCUGGGAGCCGGGUGAGACCCCCACAGUUCUCAAUCCAGGGAAAGGGCUGCUAACUAGUCGCUCCCAGUCUACUCCGCCUAUGGCUUCACUUGGGAGGGGCGGAGGUAGCAGUAAAGCCAGUUUCCAUGGCAACGUGUAGACACCCUCCUGGAUGACGGUAAAGAUGGAACUUGAACACUUGAACCCAGGACCUGAAGACCUAGCCCAUAGCUUCUCCUUCAGCCGACUACACCCUCCCCUUCGCGUCCCAGACCCUCGCCCCCGCUAAAGAUCAAGGUUUGGGGUGAAGGCCCUGAUACACGCACCUACCUACAAGAGGCAUUUUCUGAAAGGUGGCCUCGAAUUGGGGGAAGGGACAGACUGGAGUCCGCUCUGCCCGCGGUGCUGCCCUCCACCCAAGGCCUCAGCUAGAGCAAUCGAAUUAACAUGAACGAUGGCAGCCGAAAUGGGUGCAUGGUGGUGGGGGAUAGGGCCCCCGCCCCCUCCGAGAGAGACCGGGAUCUGACCUAGGUGUGCAAAGGGGUGGGGGAGGGGUUAGAAAACCCUAGCACCUCUGUGUCGGUCUCUGGACCUCUAGCGCCCUCCCCCCACCCCGCCGUCUCCCCCACACCCCGUAACCAUGUUCACACGCUGCCUCUCGCUGCCGCAGCCGGGCCGAGCUAAUCAGCACAACAUCCACCUAUCGAUGGCUGGCUCGGUGCCAGGCGGGCCGGCACCGUGCCAGUGGAGGCUGCGGGGCACCAGGGCGGGUAAAGUACAGCUGCAGGGGAAGGGGCGCCCCUUACCCAGGCACCACCUAGGAUACCAUUCAGAAAGAGGGCCCCACUUGGCCUUGUGGGGAUCAUAGCCUCGCCUACCAGAGGUGGAAGAGACAGUGUGGGCUGAGAGCAGAGGGAGCCCUCCCUCCUCAGCCCCACCUCCUCCUCCUCCUUAUAAAAGCUAAGAACAAAGAGGCCGCUGGGGACGGAGGCUUUGAUCUGACCCCACCUUCCCAGUUCUAGGCCAGGCACCGCCCAGAGUGCCCUUGGGGAGGGGGAGGGAUGACCAGCUCUCAGGGACCCAGGCAUUCUGAAACCCAGAUGCUAUUAAUACUACCCUUUGCUUUUGCUGGGCGCCCUGGUUGGUGCUACCAGGACUUGGGCAGGGCCCCAAGCGGAUGGGCUGUCAGGAGCAUCUGCCCCUCCUCAGCACAGGAAGCCGGCUGGGGAGGUGAGAGAGGGUGCCAAGCUCCACAGCUGCUGCUGGCACCCACCCCACAUUGCCCAGAGGGGUGCCCACUGAGGCCUGGCAUGGAUGGCCUGAGCACAGCUGGCAUGGAGGUCAGGCCAAGCUAAGCUGAGAGCCCAGGCCACAGGGAGUCCUGCUAUCAGGGAAGUGGCCUGAGGGCAGUAGAUUGGGGAGGGCAACAAAAAGAUGAGUGGUUUAUUGAAGGUUUGGUCUAGAUACUUAUAAAAAUACAAACUGGCAUGAAAUUCAACCUCAUGAAGAGUCC
rnacentral:lncRNA from 1 species